rnacentral:misc_RNA from 1 species
CAACCCUCAAGCACUGCUUGGUGUUGGGGCCCUGCGCCUGCAGGCCCUGAAAUACAGUGGCGGAUCGCCCGGAAAUCUCUCUGCGUAGUACUUUAACCUCGCUCUGGGAUCCGGCGGCUCCUGCCGUCAAACCCCCAAUUUUCUAA